UUGGUCAUUUAGAGGAAGUAAAAGUCGUAACAAGGUUUCCGUAGGUGAACCUGCGGAGGGAUCAUUACACAAAUAUGAAGGCGGGCUGGAACCUCUCGGGGUUACAGCCUUGCUGAAUUAUUCACCCUUGUCUUUUGCGUACUUCUUGUUUCCUUGGUGGGUUCGCCCACCACUAGGACAAACAUAAACCUUUUGUAAUUGCAAUCAGCGUCAGUAACAAAUUAAUAAUUACAACUUUCAACAACGGAUCUCUUGGUUCUGGCAUCGAUGAAGAACGCAGCGAAAUGCGAUAAGUAGUGUGAAUUGCAGAAUUCAGUGAAUCAUCGAAUCUUUGAACGCACAUUGCGCCCUUUGGUAUUCCAAAGGGCAUGCCUGUUCGAGCGUCAUUUGUACCCUCAAGCUUUGCUUGGUGUUGGGCGUCUUGUCUCUAGCUUUGCUGGAGACUCGCCUUAAAGUAAUUGGCAGUCGGCCUACUGGUUUCGGAGCGCAGCACAAGUCGCACUCUCUAUCAGCAAAGGUCUAGCAUCCAUUAAGCCUUUUUUUCAACUUUUGACCUCGGAUCAGGUAGGGAUACCCGCUGAACUUAAGCAUAUCAAUAAG
rnacentral:rRNA from 1 species